UUCCGGUUGAUCCUGCCGGACCCGACUGCUAUUUGGGUGAGGAUAAGCCAUGCGAGUUGAAUGGGAAACCUAAAAAUCCCAUGGCAAACUGCUCAGUAACACAUGAUCAACUUGCCCUAUAGAGGAAAAUAACCUCGGGAAACUGAGGAUAAUGUUCCAUAGUUGAAUCGGCUUGGAAAAGUUUUUCAAUAAAAGGGAUAAGGAAAAUGGUCCUUAUCUGCUAUAGGAUAGGAUCGUGCUCGAUUAUGGUUGUUGGUGAGGUAAAGGCUCACCAAGCCGAUAAUCGAUAGGGGCCGUGAGAGCGGGAGCCCCGAGAUGGGUACUGAGACAACGACCCAGGCCUUAUGAGGCGCAGCAGGCGCGAAACCUCCGCAAUACACGAAAGUGUGACGGGGUUACCCAAAGUGUUCUAUUUAGAACUGUGGUAGGUGAGUAAUGUUCCCUACUAGAAAGGAGAGGGCAAGGCUGGUGCCAGCCGCCGCGGUAAAACCAGCUCUUCAAGUGGUCGGGAUAAUUAUUGGGCUUAAAGUGUCCGUAGCCGGUUUAGUAAGUUCCUGGUAAAAUCGGGUAGCUUAACUAUCUAUAUGCUAGGAAUACUACUAUACUAGAGGGCGGGAGAGGUCUGAGGUACUACAGGGGUAGGGGUGAAAUCUUAUAAUCCUUGUAGGACCACCAGUGGCGAAGGCGUCAGACUGGAACGCGCCUGACGGUGAGGGACGAAAGCCAGGGGAGCGAACCGGAUUAGAUACCCGGGUAGUCCUGGCCGUAAACGAUGCAUACUAGGUGAUGGCACGGCCAUGAGCCGUGUCAGUGCCGUAGGGAAACCGUUAAGUGUGCCGCCUGGGAAGUACGGUCGCAAGGCUAAAACUUAAAGGAAUUGGCGGGGGAGCACCACAAGGGGUGAAGCCUGCGGUUCAAUUGGACUCAACGCCGG
rnacentral:rRNA from 1 species